UACGUAGGCAGCAAGCGUUGUUCGGAGUUACUGGGCGUAAAGAGUGCGUAGGUGGUGCCCUAAGUCUGUUGUGAAAUCUCCCGGCUCAACUGGGAGGGUGCGCCGAAAACUGGGAGGCUAGAGUGCGGGAUGGGAGAGUGGAAUUCCUGGUGUAGCGGUGAAAUGCGUAGAUAUCAGGAGGAACACCUGUGGUGUAGACGGCUCUCUGGACCGCAACUGACGCUGAGACACGAAAGCGUGGGUAGCAAACAGG
rnacentral:rRNA from 1 species